AUGAGUCUCAUCCCUUCUACCCGCGUCCAUCUUCCUCGACCUUUUCAAUGGAGGAAAUCUAUUUUUUUUAAACCCAACACUCCUAUCACUCCCUUAUCCAUUUGUUGUACUGCUCCUGCUUUUUCGAUAAUUGCAGAUCCAAUGCCAUCAUCUCCUAUGAUUUCGUCACCUCGCUUAUCACAGGAUUCAACACCUUCAUCGGUUGUGGCUUCCUUCUCUCCAUCACCUAAGUUUAUCUCGAUGGUUUCUGCUCGUAUUCUUCCAUCUUUUCCUCACUUUUAUAUACAUCGCUCGUGUGUUGCGAAUGUGUCUCUUGAUGUGCCACUUCCCCUCUCGGCCUACUUAUGGCUUGCUUCCUCGUCCGCUUCCGCAUGUUGA
rnacentral:rRNA from 1 species